GGUCUAUUAGUCUAGUUGGUUAGGACGUCGGAUUCUGAUUCGAAAUCGCAGAUUAGUUUCUUCCGUAAGCCCAGGUUCGAAUCCUGGAUGGACCU